rnacentral:tRNA from 2 species
GGGAAGGUAGCAAAGUUGGUCAAUGCACCGGUCUGAAAAACCGGCUAUGAGAGUUCGAUUCUCUCCCUUCCCACCA